rnacentral:rRNA from 1 species
UUGGAGGGCAAGUCUGGUGCCAGCAGCCGCGGUAAUUCCAGCUCCAAUAGCGUAUAUUAAAGUUGUUGCAGUUAAAAAGCUCGUAGUUGAAUUUCGGGGUUAGUAGGCUGGUCAUGCCACUGGUAUGUACUGGUCUCACUGAUUCCUCCUUUCUGAAGAACUGUAAUGUCAUUAAUUUGGUGUUGCAGGGAAACAGGACUGUUACUUUGAAAAAAUUAGAGUGUUUAAAGCAGGCUAACGCUUGAAUACAUUAGCAUGGAAUAAUGAAAUAGGACGUUUGAUCCUAUUUUGUUGGUUUCUAGGAUUGACGUAAUGAUUAAUAGGGAUAGUUGGGGGCAUUAGUAUUCAAUUGUCAGAGGUGAAAUUCUUGGAUUUAUUGAAGACUAACUACUGCGAAAGCAUUUGCCAAGGAUGUUUUCAUUAAUCAAGAACGAAAGUUAGGGGAUCGAAGACGAUCAGAUACCGUCGUAGUCUUAACCAUAAACUAUGCCGACUAGGGAUCGGAUGAUGUUAAUUUUUUAAUGACUCAUUCGGCGCCUUACGGGAAAC